rnacentral:tRNA from 1 species
GCUGAGGUGGUGGAAUUGGUAGACACGCUACCUUGAGGUGGUAGUGCCCUAAUGGGCUUGUGGGUUCGAGUCCCAUCCUCAGUACCA